AGUGCGUAAUAGCUCACUGGUCGAGUGAUCCUGCGCCGAAGAUUUCCGGGGCUAAAACUUACUACCGAAGCUACGGCAUCAGUAAUGAUGGGUAGGGGAGCUUCCCAUACGGGUUGAAGCAUGACCGUAAGGACAUGUGGACAGUAUGGGAGUGAGAAUGUUGGCAUGAGUAGCGAGAUGUGGGUGAGAAGCCCACAGGCCGUAAACCCAAGGUUUCCAGGGGAAGGUUCGUCCGCCCUGGGUUAGUCGGGACCUAAGCUGAGGCCGAAAGGCGUAGGUGAUGGACAACAGGUUGAUAUUCCUGUACUACCGAUAACC
rnacentral:rRNA from 1 species